CAACACUAGAAUUUGAGAUUUUUCGUAUUUUUGAUUGUUUUGUUUUUGUUUGUUCAGUUUGAAGUUUUUGGGGAGUUUUUGUAAUUUGGAUCUGGAAACUUUUUUUUUUCUGUGUUGUUGUCUGUCUUUGACAGCUUAAGAGAGAAAAAUAAAUAAAUAAAAGGGCAAAGAGAACCUCUCCUCUGUGUGUGUACGAACGGCUUGAGAGAUGAUGAGAGAGAUUCUUUAAAUAGAGGCUGAGAAAAGAUGCUUUGUUCUAAUCAACGACGGAGAUGACACCCGUUAAACCGACGGCUACGAUCUGUUUUUUCUUUCUUUUCUUUUAAAGGUUGAGUCGGUUACGGGUUUCUUUGAUAUUUUUUAUUUUUUAUUAUUUAGUUUUGAAAUAAAUUGUAAAUCAAGAAUUUGGCAAAUAUAAUUUCACUCGUUUUUUUGUUGGUAAUUUUAAAAUCUAAGAUCUAAUUAUGAUAUUAUUAUUUUUUAUCUACAAUGUUAUUAUUUAGGUAAUUAUAUAUAUAUAUAUUUUUAAAUGAUGGUAUGUUUGACUUAACAAAAAAAAAACAAAUAAUAAUGAGAUGACAAAAAAAAAAAAAACAAAUAAUAAUGAUGAUAUAAUUAUUUAAAAGAAGGUAGAAUAGUAUAGAAGAAAUGGACCAUUUCCAAAAUUUGGGCUAUUGAGUACAUUCUCGUCUAAUCAAAGUCGUCUCUAAUCUAUAACGCAUUCGUGUUCUUGUCCUUGUUACAUCAUUGGUUAUGUUAUUUUCUUCUUCUUUCUCCUCUUUCUUCUUCAGGUCAUCUGCAUAUGCAUCUAACAUCUAUCAGGUUACGACUAUUCAUAUAAAGACGACUCAAUCAUGCAAACACAGCCAAGCCUAACCUGAGUUUGGGCAUGAGUUACGAGCUUACGUAUCCU
rnacentral:lncRNA from 1 species